rnacentral:rRNA from 1 species
UGGGGAAUAUUGGACAAUGGGCGCAAGCCUGAUCCAGCCAUGCCGCGUGAGUGAUGAAGGCCCUAGGGUUGUAAAGCUCUUUUGUGCGGGAAGAUAAUGACGGUACCGCAAGAAUAAGCCCCGGCUAACUACGUGCCAGCAGCCGCGGUAAUACGUAGGGGGCAAGCGUUGUCCGGAUUUACUGGGUGUAAAGGGUGCUCAGGCGGAUUUGUAAGUCAGAGGUGAAAUCUUACAGCUUAACUGUGAAACUGCCUUUGAUACUGCAAGCCUAGAGUAUGGAAGAGAGUGAUGGAAUAUCUGGUGUAGCAGUGAAAUGCGUAGAUAUCAGAUAGAACACCAAUGGCGAAGGCAGUCACUUGGUCCAUUACUGACGCUAAAGCACGAAAGCGUGGGUAGCAAACA